CGGGGUGUAGCGCAGCCCGGUAGCGUACUUCGUUCGGGACGAAGGAGUCGGAGGUUCAAAUCCUCUCACCCCGA
rnacentral:tRNA from 1 species